AGGACGAACGCUGGCGGCGUGCUUAACACAUGCAAGUCGAACGGAAAGGCCCUUUCGGGGGUACUCGAGUGGCGAACGGGUGAGUAACACGUGGGUGAUCUGCCCUGCACUUCGGGAUAAGCUUGGGAAACUGGGUCUAAUACCGGAUAUGACCAUGGGAUGCAUGUCUUGUGGUGGAAAGCUUUUGCGGUGUGGGAUGGGCCCCGCGGCCUAUCAGCUUGUUGGUGGGGUGAUGGCCUACCAAGGCGACGACGGGUAGCCGGCCUGAGAGGGUGUCCGGCCACACUGGGACUGAGAUACGGCCCAGACUCCUACGGGAGGCAGCAGUGGGGAAUAUUGCACAAUGGGCGCAAGCCUGAUGCAGCGACGCCGCGUGGGGGAUGACGGCCUCGGUUGUAACCUCUUCAGUAGGACGAAGCGCAAGUGACGGUACCUACAGAAGAAGACACCGGCCAACUACGCGCCAGCAGCGCGUA
rnacentral:rRNA from 1 species